UCAUCAAAUAAAAAAUAACACUAAUAAAUCCACACCUUAAGAUGAGCAAACAACAAGUUGUCGAUGAAAUUCAUAAGGCAGCGCGAAAAAACUUCAUACGGCGAAAGUUCGUUCAAAAAGGGAUAAAUGACACAUGGCAAAUUGAUUUAGUUGAAAUGAUACCAUUUUGGAAAGAAAAUAAGGGUUUUAGAUAUUUACUGACCGUUAUUGACACGUUCUCAAAGUAUGCAUACGCCGAGGCAGUUAAGUCAAAGUCUGCCCUGGAUGUAGCAGAGGCAAUGAAAUCUGUUUUUAAAAAGUGUAAAAGUACACCCAAGAAUAUUCAGUCAAAUCAAGGGAAAGAAUUUUUUAAUUCCACUUUUAAGAAAUUAAUGGAUAAAUUUGAUUGAUCAAGGCUUCUAUAUGUGAACGCUUUAAUAGAACAUUAAAAAAUCGUAUGUGGAAAAUGUUUAAUAUGCAGGGUAAAUAUAAGUGGAUUCAUAAAAUCAAUUAUCUCGUAAAUCAAUACAAUAAUUCAUAUCACCGAACAAUUAAAAUGAAGCCUAUAGAUGUCUGCACGAAAAAUGAAGAGUUUAUUUUAAAAUCGAAUAAGUAAAUACAAGGGAGCAUUUAUGAAGGGAUACGAACCUGAUUGGACCACAGAAGUUUUUAAAGUUUUAAAAGUCAAGUCUACAUACCCCGUAACAUAUGAAAUACAAGAUUAUAUGGGUACCCCUAUUAAUGGGUCAUUUUAUGAAGAGGAACUUCAAAAAGUGAAAGACAAAAAUGCUUUCCUAGUAGAGAAAAUACUAAAAAGGAAAAAUAAUCAAUUGCUUGUAAAAUGGAGCGGUUUCGAUUCCAGCCACAACUCAUGGAUAUCUGUAAAUGACCUGCUAAAGUAAUAAAACGCAACAAUAACAAGUUUAA